rnacentral:rRNA from 1 species
UGGGGAAUUUUGGACAAUGGGCGAAAGCCUGAUCCAGCAAUGCCGCGUAUGUGAAGAAGGCCUUCGGGUUGUAAAGCACUUUUGUCCGGAAAGAAAUCCUUGGCUCUAAUACAGUCGGGGGAUGACGGUACCGGAAGAAUAAGCACCGGCUAACUACGUGCCAGCAGCCGCGGUAAUACGUAGGGUGCAAGCGUUAAUCGGAAUUACUGGGCGUAAAGCGUGCGCAGGCGGUUUGCUAAGACCGAUGUGAAAUCCCCGGGCUCAACCUGGGAACUGCAUUGGUGACUGGCAGGCUAGAGUAUGGCAGAGGGGGGUAGAAUUCCACGUGUAGCAGUGAAAUGCGUAGAGAUGUGGAGGAAUACCGAUGGCGAAGGCAGCCCCCUGGGCCAAUACUGACGCUCAUGCACGAAAGCGUGGGGAGCAAACAGGAUUAGAUACCCUGGUAGUCCACGCCCUAAACGAUGUCAACUAGUUGUUGGGGAUUCAUUUCCUUAGUAACGUAGCUAACGCGUGAAGUUGACCGCCUGGGGAGUACGGUCGCAAGAUUAAAACUUAAAUGAAUUGACGGGGUCAUAGCUGUUUCCU